UACGAAGGGGGCUAGCGUUGCUCGGAAUUACUGGGCGUAAAGGGCGCGUAGGCGGAUAGUUUAGUCAGAGGUAAAAGCCCAGGGCUCAACCUUGGAACUGCCUUUGAUACUGGCUAUCUUGAGUUCGGGAGAGGUGAGUGGAAUGCCGAGUGUAGAGGUGGAAUGCGCAGAUAUCAGGAGGAACACCAAUAGCGAAGGCAGCUCGCUGGGACGGUACUGACACUGAGGCGCGAAAGCGUGGGGAGCGAACAGG
rnacentral:rRNA from 1 species